AAGUCGUAACAAGGUUUCCGUAGGUGAACCUGCGGAAGGAUCAUUAUCAAUAGAUUCAUUCUAAUUUUGUGAACCCAACCCUAACUCCCACUGCUUUGGGGAAAGCUGGCUGCGGCGUUCUGCGCCCAAGCUGGGGCCAAUUUCGGUUGGCUUAGGCCUAGUCUAGUGUUGUUUCGGCGACGCUGGCUGUAUGCGAUUCUUUUGAAGCGCAAACUCUUUCCUCAAAGUAUGGAUGAUUUUACGUAUCUUUCAGUCAAGGCUAAAUCAAAAAGUUGACGUAAAAGAGUCCGCGUCAAGGCGCUCUUGUCGACAGUAAAUGUUUACAACUUUCAGCAACGGAUCUCUCGGCUCUU
rnacentral:misc_RNA from 1 species